GUAUAUAAUUUAUGUAAAGGGAAGUUAUGAGACUGUUCAGUGUAAGAUUGUAUAUAAUUUAUGUAAAGGGAGGUUAUGAGACUGGUCAGUGUAAGAUUGUAUAUAAUUUAUAUAAAGGGAAGUUAUGAGACUGUUCAGUGUAAGAUUGUAUAUAAUUUAUGUAAAGGGAAGUUAUGAGACUGGUCGGUGUAAGAUUGUAUAUAAUUUAUGUAAAGGGAGGUUAUGAGACUAGUUGGUGUAAGAUUGAUUUUCUAUGUUUUACAGGAUCAGUUGAAUGUUGGGAGGUUAUGAGACUAGUCGGUGUAAGAUUGAUUUUCUAUGUUUUACAGGAUCAGUGGAUUGUUGGGAGGUUAUGAGACUAGUCGGUGUAAGAUUGUAUUUUCUAUGUUUUACAGGAUCAGUGGAUUGUUGGGAGGUUAUGAGACUAGUCGGUGUAAGAUUGUAUUUUCUAUGUUUUACAGGAUCAGUGGAUUGUUGGGAGGUUAUGAGACUAGUCGGUGUAAGAUUGUAUUUUCUAUGUUUUACAGGAUCAGUGGAUUGUUGGGAGGUUAUGAGACUAGUCGGUGUAAGAUUGUAUUUUCUAUGUUUUACAGGAUCAGUGGAUUGUUGGGAGGUUAUGAGACUAGUCGGUGUAAGAUUGUAUUUUCUAUGUUUUACAGGAUCAGUGGAUUGUUGGGAGGUUAUGAGACUAGUCGGUGUAAGAUUGUAUUUUCUAUGUUUUACAGGAUCAGUGGAUUGUUGGGAGGUUUCGGCAAGUGGUCCAGACUCACAGGAAGUUCCGACGAUGAUUGGAUUGACCGACUCAACCAUAUAUGGACGGUUGUGAUGCUGUCCCUUUUCGCGGUUAUUGUCAGUUCAGGUCAGUAUGUCGGUGACCCGAUCCAGUGCUGGUGUCCUGCGGAGUUCACCGGUGCACGUGUGUCAUACACAAAAUCUGUUUGUUGGAUUUCAAACACGUAUUACAUUCCAAAUGAAAAUGAAAUACCUAGGGAUGAUACUGUCCGGGAGGAGGCUGAGCUUAGCUACUAUCAAUGGGUCCCGCUGAUCUUCCUCAUUCAGGCCCUCAUGUUCAAGUUGCCAAAUGUUGCUUGGCAUAUGCUGAACGGGUACUCGGGAAUAAGUCUUGACAAAAUCACAACCAUGGCUGAAGACACUUUGCUUGCAUCUCCGGAAAAACGCUACGAAAAGAUCAUGUAUAUUGCCAAGUACAUGAAUCGAUGGAUUGAAACACACAGAGAUUGGCACUACAAUUUUUUCGUGCGGAUGCGGCAGAAACUCUCAAAUAUAUUAUGUUUCUGUGUUGGAAAAAGAGACGGUACCUAUCUGACAGGAUUUUAUUUGUUUGUCAAAGCUCUUUACUGUGUUAAUAUUGUCGGACAGUUUUUCUUGCUCAACGAAUUUUUGUCCAUGGACUACAAUCUGUUUGGUGUUGAGGUUCUCAGCUUCCUGAUGGCGAAUGGGGAAUGGAAGGCAUCACCACGCUUUCCUCGGGUCACACUUUGUGACCUUCAAAUCCGUCAGCUCAACAAUCUACAACGUUUUACAGUCCAGUGUGUUCUGCCGAUAAACUUGUUCAACGAGAAAUUAUUCAUAUUCCUGUGGUUCUGGUUACUGUUCGUAGCGGUUCUAACCUUUAUCAACUUUUCCAGCUGGGUGUACGAUAUCAUUUUUAAAGAGAACAAAGUUCGCUUUGUUAGAAAAUACCUCACAAUUCUUGGACAGCUAGAGACAGGGUUUGACAAAAAGGUGUCUCGUAAAUUUGCGGAGGAAUAUUUACGCGGCGAUGGUGUGUUUGUGCUGAGGGUUGUGGGUAAAAACUCUUCAGAUAUGGUGCUAACAGAUUUAGUUCAGCAUCUCUGGAAAGUGUUUAAGGAAGAACACUGUAAACUGCCAAAUAAAGACGAUGGACUCGGUUCAGAUCCUGAACCAAAUGAAAAAGACGUGAUGAAUGGAGAUGUUAUACACACCAAAGGCAACAAUUACAAUGUAUGACCUUGAAGAACAAGGUUUGACCUUGAAGAACUUUGACCAUAUUAAAAUUUUAGCUCAGAACAUUUAGAUGUUAAGUUGUCUGAAUAUUAUAUUAAAUGUUCUAAGUGACGAUUUACAUGUUAUACUUUUAUGUAUAAUGUGUUGUGUACAUAUAUAUGUAUAUAUGAUAUGUACUAUACUUAUAUGUUUACAAAUGUAAUCGGUUUAUCAGCAAUGUAGCAUUAUAUAGACUUCAUCAGGGAACCCUAACCCUAACCCUAAACAACAAACAUAAAAUGAAAGUAUUUUAAGUAAGUUUUUCUCAAUGUGUUUCCUUUCUUAAGCUGUUGCAAGUACUGGUUCAUAUGUGUAUGUAAUACUUAUUUUAUGGUAGCUAUAAAUAUUUAGAGGUGUACAGGGUUAGACACUAACUUUUUUUGCUUGGUAGAUAUAAUAGUCCAGGACUAGUUAAAUAUAUUAUUUACUAGUCCAAGAUUUCCUGAUGAGGAAAAAUAACGAUCUACAUCAAAAAACAUAAAAAGUAAUCGACUACCUAGGGGACUUAAAAUAAUUACUGCUAUAAAAAUAUGUAAAAUAUGUAAAAUAAAAAUAAAAUUGGAAAAUGGAGGGGUCAUUUUCAGUUUUGAGGGGUCAAUCUCAAUGGCCCUGGGGCCUCCAGGGUAGGAUUAUCCCUGAUGUACAUAGGUCACAUGUCCCUGUGUGUGUACAUUUACUGCUAAAGGCCUUAGAUCUGCCCCCCCUAUUAUAGACCUAAUUAAAGCUGUUCACAGACUGAUGUCAAGAUAUACAGUUUGAGGCCCAAUAAAGGGAUUGAAACUUAUGACUAAGCUCAUCAGCAAGAUAUAUAUGUAAAGCAUAGGAGAGUACUUGUUGAAAAUUUAUACAUAAUACAUGUAGUCUGUAGACCAUUAUGUUGAUUUGUUUAUAGCAUGCAUGCUAAAAUCUUCUUUAUUUAAUUAAGUUUGUGUAUUUCAAUUUUUUCCAUAGCCAAUGCGAUUUCUGUCUGAGUUGAGACUGUUAUUAUUUAUUAACCUUUGUCUUCAAUUUAAAAAUGUAUCUCUUAAUUCCAUCAUGUUGUAACAAUGUACACUCACAUUUAUUUCAGUAGUCAUUUUUGUCAAUAUCUAACCUUCAUAGCCUGGGAGGCUAAAUCCUCUCAGGAUUAUAGAGCUGUAUACAUAGCGGUACUGAGGUCAGAUCAGACAGGUUCCAAGGUCGGAUCAGACAGGUUCUGAGGUCGGAUCAGACAGGUUCCGAGGUCGGAUCAGACAGGUUCCGAGGUCGGAUCAGACAGGUUCCGAGGUCGGAUCAGACAGGUUCCGAGGUCGGAUCAGACAGGUUCCUAGGUCGGAUCAGACAGGUACCGAGGUCAGAUCAGACAGGUGCGAGGUCGAAUCAGACAGGUUUGAGGUCGGAUCAGACAGGUUCCGAGGUCGGAUCAGACAGGUUCUGAGGUCAGAUCAGACAGGUUCGAGGUCGGAUCAAACAGGUUCCGAGGUCGGAUCAGACAAGUUCCAAGGUCGGAUCAGACAGGUUUGAGGUCAGAUCAGACAGGUUCCGAGGUCGAAUCACUCAGGUUCUAGUGUAUGCCACUGUACCUAACAGACCUAGAUGAUCUGUGUCCACUGUUACAGUAUACACAGUAUUACAUAGAAACAGUAUUAGUAUGCACUCACAGUGUGUUGCAUUGCAUAUAAGUGAAAAUAUGAUUCUUGACUUUAAUGUUGCAUUUAUUUUUACAGUCAUAAUGACUUAUGUUUUAUGUGCAAGGCAGUAAUUUGUAGAAGUGGAAAUUUUUAUUUUUUGAAAAAAACAUACAUGUACAUCAUAUUUGACCUUAUUAAACACCCUGUAAAACUUCCUGAUAGCAGAUUCAAAAUUCAUUGUUAUAGUCUAAAGUUUUAAGGGUCAUAAAUGUUUUACAGACAUUUUCUAGUUUUCAAUUAAUUUGAUAUAAAGUUACGGUGAAGGAAUAUGCUGCUUUGCUUGUACAGUACCAAGAGAAAGAAAAGGGGACACAUUAUAAGGUUACAGUACCAAGAGAAAGAAAAGGGGACACAUUAUAGGGUUACAGUACCAAGAGAAAGAAAAGGGGACACAUUAUAAGGUUGAACACAAUAUUUUUCAAAUUGCUCAACUCAAUCAUAAUAAUGUGUACAAACAUUUAAUUGCAUAUCAUGACUUCUGGUAUUGAUUACAUAUAUACAUGUACCACCCAGGGUCUUACCAUCUAGUCAUCAGGCACAGACAGAAAGAGUAAAAAAACAUGAACAUUCACACUUCCACAACUUAAGUAUACCACUCUUUCAUGUCCCUAGUCGGCCCACUAAAGUAUACCACUCUAUCAUGUCCCGUCAGCCCACUAAAGUAUACCACUCUAUCAUGUCCCUCGUCAGCCCACUAAAGUAUACCACUCUAUUCAUGUCCCUAGUCAGCCCACUAAAGUAUACCAUUCUAUCAUGUCCCUAGUCAGCCCACUAAAGUAUACCACUCUAUUCAUGUCCCUCGUCAGCGUUUUUGAAUUUUUUUGUCAUUUUAUUCCACAGUUAGCCUUACAUUAAUGAAAUAGAUUUUAUUUUGUACAAGUUUGGGACCAACAUGAUACUUAGUGUUUUGUAGUCCGAUGUCUUCCUUUCAACUGUUCUAUAACAAAGAGACAUUAUUGUACAAUGUACUAGGUUUCCACCAUCUGGUUUCAAUUAAAUCUUGUCUAGGGCUCAAUUUGGAUCUGUUAUCUUGGUAUCAUGAUGAAACCAUGUACCGGCAUGUAUCACCCAGUGGCUUUCACAAAGGGAUAUUAAUAUCAGAUUCUUUUAAUUAAUUUAUUAAUGAUACAGGUAUAUGCCUAAACAGCCAAUAAAAAUAAGCACAUACAUUUCUGGUCAUUUCAAUUUUGGCAAAUUGGUCAGCUGCUGUACCACCUUUUGUCAAAUAUGAAACUUUAUAAUGGAAAAUUUUCUCUGAUGUUUUAUUUUUCGCCUUUUUCACCCUUUGCAAUGAGGGCAAAUUUAUUAUAACAGCGAACAGUAAUAAGUGAUAUGAUAAACAUAGUAAACAGAUGUGAAGAGCGAAAAAUUAACAAAAACAGAUUUUUAUGGAGCGGGGGGGGAGAUUUGACUUUGUGAAAGUAUUCAGUAAAAAACUAAAAAAAACUUUUAUGUACCUGACCAAAUGCCGUAACGAGAUUUCAUUAAAAUUUUUAAAAAAUCCUAAUUCUUCCGAGACCAGGAAAAUCACUUGUAACUAAGCAUGUUAUAUAAAUAUAAAAGAUAUGAAAGAAAAAAAGGACUGUUUUUGCCUCACAUUUAUAACCUUAUCAAUCUCCAUAAUGAAAGUCAGAUAUAUCAUUAGAAAGAAAAAGUACAAAUGUAUGUGUUGUUUGAUGUGAAGAUGUGGGUUAGUACAAAGUCAUUGUGAUCUAUUCUGCUGUAACAUAUAGCCCGUAUUAUACUACCAUUGAGAUUGUUUGUAUGUCUUUGUCAUAUGAAACAGAAAACAGGAUUAUGGGCAUUCUAAUUGUACUGCGUUAAAAUGUGAUAAUUACGUGUAUAUAUAUUUAUCAUAUGAAUACCAUGUUAUGCAGUGUCAUAAAGCCAUCACAUAAAUUAUGUUUAUGUAACGUGUGUAAUAUCACUCCAGAAAUGACGUCACAAUCAAAUAGGAACAAUCAAUGUAACGUCGCGUUAUUGUGAAGCGGACACAAUUUUCAUUGUUUCAGAGGGGACCAAGUGCAAAAUAUUUGUUUCAGAUCACAAUUAUACAGUUUACUUUGU
rnacentral:misc_RNA from 1 species